AGCAGCCGCGGUAAUUCCAGCUCCAAUAGCGUAUAUUAAAGUUGUUGCAGUUAAAAAGCUCGUAGUUGAAUUUCGGGAUCAAAUUGUCGGUCGUGCCUCGGUACGCACUGGCGCUAUUGGUUCCUCCCUUCUGAAGAACCGCGAUGUCAUUAAUUUGGUGUCGCGGGGAAUCAGGACUGUUACUUUGAAAAAAUUAGAGUGUUUAAAGCAAGCUCGCGCUUGAAUACAUUAGCAUGGAAUAAUGAAAUAGGACGUUUGAUUCUAUUUUUGUUGGUUUCUAGGAUCGACGUAAUGAUUAAUAGGGAUAGUUGGGGGCAUUAGUAUUCAAUUGUCAGAGGUGAAAUUCUUGGAUUUAUUGAAGACUAACUACUGCGAAAGCAUUUGCCAAGGAUGUUUUCAUUAGUCAAGAACGAAAGUUAGGGGAUCGAAGACGAUCAGAUACCGUCGUAGUCUUAACCAUAAACUAUGCCGACUAGGGAUCGGAUGAUGUUAAUUUUUUAAUGACUCAUUCGGCGCCUUA
rnacentral:rRNA from 1 species